ACCCUUCACAACGGGGUGCGGCGUCGCUAUAUUCGUUCGGUCCCCUCGGGGACUAUGGUGAUAAACGCGCACGUAAUACACGGAUCGGACCCGGGGGCGGUACCCGGCGGCUCCACCAACACCCGUUCAUUGGCGGGCGAGGGGCCGAAACAGGAUCGACGGACGUCUAAAGGUGUUUGCUUUCACCCGGUGAGCCACCACCGUUAUCGGUGCAAAUUGUACAGUUGCCAAUGACAACCGUGCUCCGGUGGCCGUUGCUGCGUAAGCAGUAACCAAACCGAAACUUAAGUCCCCUGGCUUUGCCGUCAGGGGCGGGGCUCGCAGGCGCCUGGCAACAGAAGCCUGCACU
rnacentral:tmRNA from 1 species